AUUUGUUGUCACCAGCCAUCUUAGUUCAAACUCAAUAUGGAUAUAUUACAACCAAGUGAUUGUGCAGCAACGGGAACUGGACAGAUGAUCUGUGAAUUCGGAUAAGCAAGGGGUAAAAUGUUACACGACCAUUCCAGGAGAUAAAAUCAAGAAUGUUGAAUCAUUGAGGAACACACCAAUUAAACCCUGGGCUGUGAAUUAUGUUAACGGAAGUGGAAGUGAACACCAAAGAAAGAAGAUUCUGGCAUUCAAUAAUUUCGAAAAGUGUAUACAUUUUCUAUAAUCUAAAAAUAAUAAAAUGUCAACGCAAA
rnacentral:lncRNA from 1 species